UACGUAGGGUGCGAGCGUUAAUCGGAAUUACUGGGCGUAAAGCGUGCGCAGGCGGUUAUGUAAGACAGAUGUGAAAUCCCCGGGCUCAACCUGGGAACUGCAUUAGUGACUGCAUAGCUGGAGUACGGCAGAGGGGGAUGGAAUUCCGCGUGUAGCAGUGAAAUGCGUAGAUAUGCGGAGGAACACCGAUGGCGAAGGCAAUCCCCUGGGCCUGUACUGACGCUCAUGCACGAAAGCGUGGGGAGCAAACA
rnacentral:rRNA from 1 species